UUUUCCGUUGAAGCCUGUGGAUCACAAAAUGGAGUUCCACGCAUUGGUUUUGUAUACACCGAUUAUUGUGUUAUGUUUUGUUAGUCAAGGUAGGCAACGUACAUGUGAUACAAUAUUGAAAGGUUGUGAAAAUGAUUAUAAUCGCAUUCAAACAAAACGAAAAAGCAAAAAUGAAUUAAAGCAAAAUCAAAAGACAAAAGAAAGAAAAAACUAAAUUAAAUGAAACUUAAAAUCGACAUAAAGAAUGUGUCAAAGUGACAACAACCUGACCAAAGAACAGAC
rnacentral:lncRNA from 1 species